UAAUUAACUAACGGUGGAAUUCAUAGUCGUAGUAGGGGGCCCCUAAGGGGAUUAUUCAGCCGCUAUGUGUCGAAUUCAACCCCUACGCGUUUCAUAGACAAAAGAAACCCCUCAUUUGACAGGAGCUGGCGGCUGACUGCUGAAUUACCGAUAUUUGUCAGCCAAACCAUCCCCUGGCAUUUUUUUUUGUUGUUAUUCGUGAUUUAUUUAUUAGAAAGUGGACGUUCGGAUCGUUAUAAGUGAAGUUAUAAACAGCGAGUUAUAUCAGUGCCCAAGAUAUAUAUUCGCAAUUGCGUAAACCCAGUAUAAUACUAUGGCGAUAUGGAAUGUACGAAAGAUUCUCAUAUUAGGCAUAAUAUGCCUCUGUUUGAUGAAGAAUGAACACAGAAGACCAAGAGAGGAAUACCAAUACCGCUAGUAUUAUACAUUCUAGCAGCACUUCGAUUCUAUGAAACGGGAUGUUAUCAGACUGUAUGUGCAUUCCAUCAAGCAUUCUAUGAAAUAACAGAAAUGCCACAAGUCAAGCUGUAUUGAUGGCACGCAUAGGUAUACAUAUAAACAACCCCGGAGGACCCUAUGCACAGAUUUAAAGAAACCGGCUAUCAUGGCAGGGAAUAGCAGUGAUGAGCUCUGAGAAUACUGUUUUACCAAGAAUACUGAGAAUACUUUGGUCCUUGAAAAUCCGAGUUUUCAGAUCACAGUAAUUGGAAGACCCACAUACCUUUAAAAGUCAGCAGCAUUUAAUAUAGAGGUAGUAGGAGUGAGUGCAGUAUGUUGUAAGGUGGUCACUCACUCUGAAGUCCAUAACAAUAGAAAAUGUAUACAAAUCUUAAUUGAAUGAAAUUUAUUGAUUCACAUCUUUAAUAAAGAUAAUUAUUAAAUGUUUA